CCGCGAGGAUGCGCCGUUCAAAUCUGCUUGCUAUGUCGGCUGCGGCGUGACGACAGGCGUGGGCGCGGUGAUCAACACCGCCGGGGUCGAAGCGGGCGCGAACGUGGUUGUUUUCGGCCUCGGCGGUAUCGGCCUCAACGUCAUCCAAGGUGCCAGGAUGGUGGGCGCCGGCAAGAUCAUCGGCGUCGACAUCAACGAUGCCAAGGAGGAAUGGGGCCGU
rnacentral:misc_RNA from 1 species